AUUGAACGCUGGCGGCAUGCCUUACACAUGCAAGUCGAACGGCAGCACGGGUGCUUGCACCUGGUGGCGAGUGGCGAACGGGUGAGUAAUACAUCGGAACAUGUCCUGUAGUGGGGGAUAGCCCGGCGAAAGCCGGAUUAAUACCGCAUACGAUCUACGGAUGAAAGCGGGGGACCUUCGGGCCUCGCGCUAUCGGGUUGGCCGAUGGCUGAUUAGCUAGUUGGUGGGGUAAAGGCCUACCAAGGCGACGAUCAGUAGCGGGUCUGAGAGGACGACCAGCCACACUGGGACUGAGACACGGCCCAGACUCCUACGGGAGGCAGCAGUGGGGAAUUUUGGACAAUGGGCGAAAGCCUGAUCCAGCAAUGCCGCGUGUGUGAAGAAGGCCUUCGGGUUGUAAAGCACUUUUGUCCGGAAAGAAAUCCUUGGCCCUAAUACGGUCGGGGGAUGACGGUACCGGAAGAAUAAGCACCGGCUAACUACGUG
rnacentral:rRNA from 1 species